rnacentral:rRNA from 1 species
GACGAACGCUGGCGGCGUGCUUAACACAUGCAAGUGGAGCGACGAACCGGGCUUCGGCCCGGGGCAAAGCCGCGAACGGGUGAGUAUCACGUGGGUAACCUGCCCCGAUGACCGGGAUAACCCGAGGAAACUCGGGCUAAUACCGGAUGUGCUCCCAAUCCACCAGGGUUGGGAACAAAGGAAGCUUCGGCCUCCGCAUUGGGAUGGGCCCGCGGCCCAUUAGCUUGUUGGUGAGGUAACGGCUCACCAAGGCGACGAUGGGUAGCUGGUCUGAGAGGACGGUCAGCCACACUGGGACUGAGACACGGCCCAGACUCCUACGGGAGGCAGCAGUGGGGAAUCUUGCACAAUGCGCGAAAGCGUGAUGCAGCAACGCCGCGUGGGGGAAGAAGGCCUUCGGGUUGUAAACCCCUUUCAGUUGGGACGAAGCUUCGCCGGUGAAUAGCCGGCUGGAGUGACGGUACCUUCACAAGAAGCCCCGGCUAACUACGUGCCAGCAGCCGCCGUAAUAC